rnacentral:hammerhead_ribozyme from 1 species
GUACUACUGAAGAGUUCCAAACUAGGACGAAACGGUUGUCCAGAAC